CGGAGCUCCCGUAUUCCGUCCCCUUCCCCGUACGUAUUCCGCUUCGUACCCUUUCGUCCCCUUUUGCUCUCACUUCCGACAGCCGACCGUGGUCCGCGGGGAGCGAAGGCAUCGAGUGAAUCCAGCGACCGCCCUCUGCUCCCAUCGCCGCACUUCCCCGUCCCUUCCCGCCGCUCACUUUGCCACCGCAGCCAAGCAGGCAGCUAUUGCACAAGCUCAAGAUUGAAUCAGAUCAGGCCUAGGCCAUGGCCUGGAGCAGGUGUGGCGCCACCCCCGUCAUAGAUGCCGGCCCUCUCCAAUCUCAAGACCACCUCCGCCUCCUGGUUUUGCUCCUCCUGCUUGCUGACCUUGACCCCUCCCUGUUCGAUCCAGUUUGUUUCUUCGUUCUUCUAAUUUGUUGUCUGCUGAUUGGAUUUGUUCUCAGACCAAAUUGAGGCGACGCCGCCUACAUCACCGACGAGGCAACGGUCGCGGCGGCCGCCGACGCCUAGACCGUGGCCACCGUGGCGGCUGUCGCCGGCGGCGACUUGGCUUCCUGGCAGCGCCUUCGCGCGUGUUCCCUGCUAGUAUAGCCGCAGUAGAAGCUAAGCAGCAGCAGAGGCGGACGCAGACGCCGUGCUGCUGAUCACAAAAUUGAGGCGGUCAACUAUUCUACAGCUGAAAGACGACAGAUCUCACAGGCCUUGAGCUGACCGUAGUUUUUUGAGACGUACUACUAAUGAAACUGUUUGGUGUAUGCUGCUACUAUAAGCAUUUCCUUCAUUAAGUAUUGGUGAGAACUCUGCUCACGCCCGCCGAGGUCGCCUUGCUCCUCAACAUGCUCAACAACAUGAGGCCAGAAGACGUGGGUCAACAGUGUCAACGCCGGCAUUGUCACAGUGAUCAACUACAGUUCUGCUUGUGAGGGGUAGAGGUACCAAUGGAUUGUCGCAGACUUGAGUCGUAAUUUGCUAAAUAGGGGUGUACAAGAUUGGCCGGAGCUCCCAUAUGACCCUAUGCAGGUAAAUAGCAAAGCUUAGGUCCCAGAGGAUUGAAAAUGAGAAAAAGUUAAAAAGAAGACUUCUUUUACCAUUUGGGUUGGGUUGUACUGUGGUAGAUACCCAGGCAUUUGGUUUGCGGAAGGCAUUUCAGGUCGUACUUGUAAAGAAUUGGCUGUCUUCUUUUUCUUCUUCGUUUUUGCUUUCUCUGAGCCACCAACAGAUCUUGCUGAUUCUGGUAUAAUACUUUCUCCCAAAUGACCCUGAGAAGAUUAAUAGCAAAGCUUAGCGUCAUUGUAGUUUGAAAAAGAGAGAAAGUUAUAUGGGUAGACUUUUUAUACCAUUAACAUUGGGUUAUGCAUAGGCAUCUGAUUUGUGAAAGGCAUUUUUCUCCCAAAUGACCCUAAGAAGAUUAAUAGCAUUACUCAUCCUGGCUUGCUCGUUGGCCCGGACGAGCUCAGCACGAAGGGUCUCAACCGCGGCAGCACUAUCUGCAGUUAUGCAUAUCUUAGUAUAUAAAUCUCAGCUUCAUGCUCAUAUUAUUAUACAUAUAUAUACUGACUGCCCCACAACAUACCUUGCACCUCGUCAAGCCGCCUGUUAAUAAGUGUGAUGUCGUCAUCCGCCACAUCAAGUUUCUGCUUCAGACCUGCAACCUCUGUAGCAUGGGCAGUCGCCAUGGAUGAGACAACCUGUGUUCCAGUUAAUUAGAUUAUUUCCUGGGCAUAUCUUUUUUUGAUCCUCUGAUCGCCUCCUUUUGGAUGCCCAUCAGAGUCUCAGGGGCUACUACCUAUACACAGGUGCAUUUUUGCACGUAGAGUGCAACUGAAAAUAUUACAUUGCAUACCUCGAAGCCUCUUAGCAGGCCCGUGAAGGCUUCAUUCAAUCUGCUUCUCGCGGACAAAAUCCUCUCAACUAUCGUACCCAUUAAGGUACGAUGUUCCUCUGAGAUGGACGCAUGUCGCAACAUGUCCAUCAAUGUAUCCGGUGCCACCCGAUUCCUAGAAGCGGCGGUGGGAGUGCGGACUCCCUUCGAAGGGAUAUGUUUACUCGACACUAGAGUCGUCUCCGUCUGUAAACCGGAUAGUCCGGGGCCUUUAUUGCUAGUCCCAGAAGGGGCCGCACACCCCGGACCUUGGACUACCGAAGUAUCACCUUCGGGAGUGGUCCUCAUUGUCCCUCGCACCACUUGUUGAUCAGGAGAAAUCCUCCGGGAAGACACCUCAAAUCGUCUGCCCUAUUGGGUGAGAAGGUCUAUGGAGGCGUCUCGCUUUCCAUCAUCUCCGGAAGAAGAACCCCCGAGGAGGAGGACUAUUGAGGAAGACCGCGUGCCGGGCUGCAAACAUAUAUUUUAGAUGUUACCCUUGUAAGUGGAAAGGAACAGGAUAUGUUAAGGACACCCUUGUUCACUUAUGAUUCGGCUAAGGGCUUGUCCUUACGGAGGAAUUGCGCGACAACGUCGUCUUCCAGACCCGAACUGCCUAACAAGGAGAUCUUCCCUCGCUUAGGAGCCUUUACCUCCAAAUCUUCAGAGGCAGUCGUCUUCUUCCCAUGGGGGAAAGGGAUGUCAGCUUCUCCUUCUCUUUUGUCUUCGUAAGAGGGAGUUCCAAUCUCCCUGGACAGAGUGUCUGGUGUACAUUUAGAAUGGAGGACACCUUUGGCCUUCUUGCUCUCCUCCUUGUCCUCCUUUGCCGGCACUUGAUACGGCGCCAGAGCCAGCAUCCUUGUUAAUACAGGAUUAGCUGAGUCCUCGGGAAGAGGGGCCAAACACCGAAUUCGUUCCUCCUUCUUUAUCCAGCCUUGUUCGAAGAUUGUUUUCUCAGUAUUACGGGAUAUUUAACUUAGCUAUGUUUGGGAGUCGAGUGCUUACCGAGGUAUCCGGAUGGUUGCAGUCGAGGCCGAUGUCUUCGGUGGUAUCCGGCCACUGUUUUCGUGUCCCGAAGAAUAACUUCCACAUUCCUCUGUGCAUCAUGCCAAAGAAGUGCUGAAGGGUCCGUGGUCCUUUCGAAUGGAACUCCCACAUGUGGAGAGGCCGUCGCUGGCACGACAGGACCCGGCGGACUAGCAUUACCUGGAUUACAUUGAUGAGGCCGGUGUCCUUUUCGAGGAGGCUCCGGAUGCGGCUUUGUAGCGUCUGCACGUCGUCAAUUGAUCCCCAGUCCAGUCCCUUAUUAAUACAUGAUGCAAGCCGUAAUGGAGGGCCAGAUCGGAACGCAGGUGUAGCUGCCACUAGGUACCACGGGGUUCAGUGAUGUAAAACCACUCCCGCUGCCAUAGGUUGGAAGUUUCCGUGAAAGAGCCUUUUGGCCAAAGAGUAUUGGUGAGCUUGUUCACCGUAGCACCACCACACUCUACUUGCUUCCCCUCGAUUACCUUCGGCUUCACAUUAAAGGUCUUGAGCCAUAAGAUGAAGUGUGGGGGAAUGCAAAGAAAGGCCUCGCACAUGACAAUGAACGCCGAGAUGUGAAGAAAGGAGUCCGGAGCUAGAUCGUGAAAAUAUAGCCCGUAAUAGAACAUGAGUCUGAACGAAGGGAUGGAGAGUGAACCCUAUCCCCCGGAGGAAGUGGGAGAUGAAUACGACCCUCUUGCCAGAUCUGGGAGUAGGAAUAACCUGUCCUUUAGCAGGGAGCCUAUGGGGGAUUUCCGCGGUCAGGUAUCUUGCCACCUGGAGCUCCGCGAUAUCCUCCUCUGUGACAGUGGAGGCCACCCACCGGCCUUGAAGGCUGGGUCCAGACAUGACUGGGAGGCUUAGAGCAAUUAAUUUGAAACCUGGGUGCUGGGACUCGAGGUUGGAAAGGUUGGAGUAGAGGUAGGCGUAGAGGAGAAAUAUGGGUCUGUGCCCCUUUAUAAAGGCGAUGAAUAUCAAAUGCCUCCUCAUAAUCCUUAAAGCUUGCCUAUUCCCAAGGGAUCAUGCCAACGAAAUGGUUGGGUUACCCACGCCUGUAUUGAUGAGAAUCCCACAUUAAGGGGACAUGAUCUCUGCUUCGACAAGACAUGCCAAUAAAACCGCAUCUUGAAACGUGGAGCGAGAGGCUAAAGAAACAACGGUUCAAAGUAAUGACCGGGAAGGGACGUGAUGUCGCGCUACAAACGUUGUCAGCAAAUUGGACUCAUGAAAUAUUAUACUCUCUGCGGUUGUGUGUGGUAUUUGU